rnacentral:lncRNA from 1 species
GAUAGAAUGGGGGGUAAUUAAAGGGAUAUAUGGCGGUAAUAGGGGAUAUAUGGGCGGUAAAUAGGGGUAUAUAUGGGGAGAAUGGGGGAUAUAUGGGGGUAAUGGGGGUAUAGGGGGUAAUAGGGGAUAUUAUGGGUUAAUAGGGAUAUAUGGGUUAAUAGGGGAUAUAUGGGGGUAAUUAGGAUAUAUGGGGGUAAUAGGGGCGGUAAUGGGGGGUGAUAAGGGAUAAUGGGGGUGAUAAGGGAUAUAUGGGGGUAAUAGGGAUAUUAUGGGUGAAUAGGAUAUUAAGGGGAAUAGGGGAUAUAUAGGGGUAAUAGGGAUAUAUAGGGGUAAAUAGGCGGAAAUAUGGGGGUAAUUAAUAGGGGAUAUAUGGGGGUAAUAGGGGAUAUAUGGGGGGUAAUAGGGGAUAUAUGGGGGGUAAUAGGGGAUAUAUGGGGUUCUAUGGGAUCAAUGGGAUCAAUGGGGUCAAUGGGGCCGUUGGGUUCUAUGGGGCGCUGCAAUGACGCCGUGUCACCGCCAGGUGGCGCCAUGCUGCUGGUGACGGUGGUGGUGGCCGCGGCGCUGUUAGGGGUCUGUGGGGCAGAGACCGAGCCCCCCAUCCCUGAAUCGACCCCGACCCCAUUAACGCUGUGGGGCCGAGUGGAGGCGGCAGCCAAGAACUUCAGUGACCGGCUGUGGGGCAGCAACGUGGGGCAGGCCGUGCAGUGAGUGGGGCACACUAUGGGGGGAUAUGGGGCACAAUAGGGGGGCUAUGGGGGGCUAUGGGGCACACUAUGGGGGUCUAUGGGGCACACUAUGGGGGGCUAUGGGGCACAAUGGGGGGCUAUGGGAGGAACCUUUAGCCACGCCCCCUUUCCCUUUGGCCACGCCUCCUCCUUUAGACCACGCCCUCUUUCCAUUUAGACCACGCCCCCUUCAUUUUGGCCACGCCCGCUUCCCUUUGGCCACGCCCCCUGGGUGGGGCACACAAUGGCGGUCAAUGGGUGCCUUUAGCCACGCCCCCUUCGUGAGGCCACGCCCCUUUUCCCUUUAGCCACGCCCCCUCAGCGGGGCACACAAUUGUGGUCAAUGGGGGCCUUUGGCCACGCCCACUUCACGAGGCCACGCCCCAAUUCAAUGACGUCAGCCCCCGUGACCACGCCCUCUCCCGUGGCCACGCCCACCUCUGGCCCCGCCCCCUCCCUCCCUCCCCGCCUCC